GUACUUAUCUGGCAGGGGAAAUACCAUGAUCAGGAAGGUGGUUCUCCCAGGGCGAGGCUUAUCCACAGCACUCCGGAUGUGCUGACCCCUGUGAUUUCCCCAAAUGUGGGAAACUCGGCUGCAUCAUUUCCAGUAGUAGGGGACAGCGUUCCCCUU